AGCGAACGCUGGCGGCAGGCCUAAAACAUGCAAGUCGAACGCCCGUAGCAAUACGGGAGUGGCAGACGGGUGAGUAACACGUGGGAACGUACCCUUUGGUUCGGAACAACACAGGGAAACUUGUGCUAAUACCGGAUAAGCCCUUACGGGGAAAGAUUUAUCGCCAGAGGAUCGGCCCGCGUCUGAUUAGCUUGUUGGUGAGGUAACGGCUCACCAAGGCUACGAUCAGUAGCUGGUCNGAGAGGAUGAUCA
rnacentral:rRNA from 1 species